rnacentral:rRNA from 1 species
GUAGGUGGCAAGCGUUGUCCGGAAUUAUUGGGCGUAAAGCGCGCGCAGGCGGUUCUUUAAGUCUGAUGUGAAAGCCCACGGCUCAACCGUGGAGGGUCAUUGGAAACUGGAGAACUUGAGUACAGAAGAGGAAAGCGGAAUUCCACGUGUAGCGGUGAAAUGCGUAGAGAUGUGGAGGAACACCAGUAGCGAAGGCGGCUUUCUGGUCUGUAACUGACGCUGAGGCGCGAAAGCGUGGGGAGCAAACAGGAUUAGAUACCCUGGUAGUCCACGCCGUAAACGAUGAGUGCUAAGUGUUAUGGGGUUUCCGCCCCUUAGUGCUGCAGCUAACGCAUUAAGCACUCCGCCUGGGAGUACGGCCGCAAGGCUG